rnacentral:rRNA from 1 species
UACGGGGGGGGCAAGCGUUGUUCGGAAUUACUGGGCGUAAAGGGCUCGUAGGUGGCCAACUAAGUCAGACGUGAAAUCCCCAGGCUUAACCUGGGAACUGCAUCCGAUACUGGAUGGCUUGAAUCCGGGGGAGGGAUGCAGAAUUCCAGGUGUAGCGGUGAAAUGCGUAGAUAUCUGGAGGAAUACCGGUGGCGAAGGCGGCAUCCUGGACCGGCAUUGACGCUGAGUGAGCGAAAGCUAGGGGAGCAAACGGG